rnacentral:rRNA from 1 species
GACGAACGCUGGCGGCGUGCUUAACACAUGCAAGUCGAACGAAGUGGCGAACGGGUGAGUAACGCGUAAUCAACCUGCCCUUCAGCGGGGGACAACAGUUGGAAACGACUGCUAAUACCGCAUACUGAAGGAGGUGAUUGCGUCUGUUUAGGUAGUUGGAGGGGUAACGGCCCACCAAGGCGCUGAUCAGUAACCGGUCUGAGAGGAUGAACGGCCACAUUGGGGAUGUGAAACGGCCCAGAGUCCGACGGGAGGCAGCAGUGGGGACUCUGCCGCAAUGGACGGAAGUCUGACGGAGCAACGCCGCGUGAGUGAUGACGGGCGUCGGGUUGUAAAGCUCUGUUAAUCGGGACGCAGUACCGUAAUAGAAAGCCACGGCUAACUACGUGCCAGCAGCCGCGGUAAUAC